rnacentral:tRNA from 1 species
UCCCUAAUGGUCCAGUGGUUAGGACUCUGUGCUUUCAUUGCCAAGGGUCUGGGUUCCAUCCCUGGUCAGGGAA